rnacentral:rRNA from 1 species
GACGAACGCUGGCGGCGUGCUUAACACAUGCAAGUCGAACGGAAAGGCCCUGCUUUUGUGGGGUGCUCGAGUGGCGAACGGGUGAGUAACACGUGAGUAACCUGCCCUUGUCUUUGGGAUAACUUCAGGAAACAGGGGCUAAUACCGGAUAGGAGCUACUGCUGCAUGGUGGGCGUUGGUAAGUUUCGGCGGUUGGGGAUGGACUCGCGGCUUAUGCGCUUCUUGGUGGGGUAGUGGCUUACCAAGGCUUUGACGGGUAGCCGGCCUGAGAGGGUGACCGGCCACAUGGGGACUGAGAGACGGCCCAGACGCCUACGGGAGGCAGCAGGGGGGAGUAUUGCACAAUGGGCGGAAGCCAGAGGCAGCAGCGCCGCGUGCGUGAUGACGGCCUUCGGGUGGUAAACCGCUUUCGCCGGUGACAAAGCGUGAGUGACGGUAAUGGGUAAAAAAGCACCGGCUAACUACGUG